UACGUAGGGGGCAAGCGUUGUCCGGAAUUAUUGGGCGUAAAGGGCGCGCAGGUGGUGGUUUAAGUUUGGUGUUUAAUCCCAGGGCUCAACCCUGGUACGCACUGAAAACUGGAUCACUUGAGUUCAGAAGAGGAGAGUGGAAUUCCACGUGUAGCGGUGAAAUGCGUAGAUAUGUGGAGGAACACCAGUGGCGAAGGCGACUCUCUGGUCUGAUACUGACACUGAGGCGCGAAAGCGUGGGUAGCAAACAGG
rnacentral:rRNA from 1 species